AACGGUGGAGCCUGCGGUUUAAUUGGAUUCAACGCCGGAAAUCUCACCGGGGGCGACAGCAAUAUGAAGGUCAGGCUGAAGACCUUACCCGAUUAGCUGAGAGGUGGUGCAUGGCCGUCGUCAGUUCGUACUGUGAAGCAUCCUGUUAAGUCAGGCAACGAGCGAGACCCACGUCCACAGUUGCCAGCAUACCCUCCGGGGUGAUGGGUACACUGUGGAGACCGCCGCUGCUAAAGCGGAGGAAGGAGUGGGCAACGGUAGGUCAGUAUGCCCCGAAUCUCCCGGGCUACACGCGGGCUACAAUGGUUGGUACAAUGGGCAUCUACCCCGAAAGGGGAAGGAAAUCUCUUAAAGCCAAUCGUAGUUCGGAUUGAGGGCUGCAACUCGCCCUCAUGAAGCUGGAAUCCGUAGUAAUCGCGUUUCAACAGAACGCGGUGAAUACGUCCCUGCUCCUU
rnacentral:rRNA from 1 species